GUGGGGAAUCUUCCGCAAUGGACGAAAGUCUGACGGAGCAACGCCGCGUGAGUGAAGAAGGUUUUCGGAUCGUAAAGCUCUUUCGUUAGGGACGAACGUGCUCUUUGUGAAUAAUGAGGAGUAAUGACGGUACCUAAAUAAGAAGCCACGGCUAACUACGUGCCAGCAGCCGCGGUAAUACGUAGGUGGCAAGCGUUGUCCGGAAUUAUUGGGCGUAAAGCGCGCGCAGGCGGGAUAUCAAGUCUGUCUUAAAAGUGCGAGGCUCAACCUCGUGAGGGGACAGAAACUGGUAUUCUUGAGUGUCGGAGAGGAAAGUGGAAUUCCAAGUGUAGCGGUGAAAUGCGUAGAGAUUUGGAAGAACACCAGUGGCGAAGGCGACUUUCUGGACUGUAACUGACGCUGAGGCUCGAAAGCCAGGGGAGCGAACGGGAUUAGAAACCCGUGUAGUCC
rnacentral:rRNA from 1 species